rnacentral:lncRNA from 1 species
AGAAUCCUCACCUUCCCUUCCAUGAUGGUCACCACGUCAGGCAAGCCGCCAAUCAACCUGCCACGAUCUGCAACGGGAAAGCACCUUGGUUAGGAAAACAUCUGCGGGACGUUCCCACGGAGCAGGAGCCAUGUACUUACUCUUCUCUGCAAAAGCAGCAGCUCUAAAAGUUAAAGGGGACAGAAAGGACAGAAUGAAAAGAGAGUAUGAGAAAAUGCUUCCAACAAAAUGCACAGCUGAAAGGCUCACUAGCGAUGAGAGCAAAAGAAGAAGGAGAUACGUUCGCAUUCUCUUAGAAGAACAUGUUCGGGUCACAGGACCCCAGGAUGGAUAUCAUUGAUUUUUCCUGAUGGUUCCCACUGCCCAUUUUGAGGUGGAAAAUGC